UACAGAGGGGGCAAGCGUUGUUCGGAAUUACUGGGCGUAAAGGGCGCGUAGGCGGCCCGCUAAGUCGAACGUGAAAUCCCCAGGCUCAACCUGGGAACUGCGUCCGAUACUGGCAGGCUUGAAUCCGGGAGAGGGAUGUGGAAUUCCAGGUGUAGCGGUGAAAUGCGUAGAUAUCUGGAGGAAUACCGGUGGCGAAGGCGGCAUCCUGGGCCGAGAUUGACGCUGAUGAGCGAAAGCUAGGGGAGCAAACGGG
rnacentral:rRNA from 1 species